ensembl:lncRNA
GAACCCGGAGAGAACCCACGCAGACACGGGGAGAACAUGCAGACUCCACACAGAAAGGCCAGAUCCAAGGAUCAAAACCGUGAUGCAGUUUUACAACCCUUUGCACCCCUAGCGGCAGCUCAGGAAAAACAAUUACAGCCACGUGCUUUGGUAAAUGUUCAACAGCAGCCGAACAGAAAGAACCUGCUGUUGCACUCCUUGAUUGGAUGGAAACACAUCAACGGGGAAUCCAAUUUGCUUUGUGUGCGCUCACUGAGCCAGCUGCAGAAAUAACAUGAAAGGGCAGAAUAAAGCACCUCAAAACAGGAACGUUUUAAGUCCGCGUUUCUUUUCAAGUCAUGAAAAACCUUUGUUGAAGGGAUGGUAAAAUACAAAUUUGGCUGACACACACACGCACACACACUGCCCCAACACUCCUGUGGUUGUCUGAGACGGCGUGAGGCGUAACCCCACCCUCUCUAUAGGGCAGCAGAUCGCUUCCAGUAACUUGAAAAGACCCCCACUGCCCCCUCACAAGUGUGCUUCAUCAAAGUCCUUCACGAUCCUGCUCUAUGGAUAACACACAGUUCUGACCCUUUUACGACUUCCUUCUCCUCCCAGCUUUCCUGAGGACUCGGGGGGGAAUAAGGCACCGAGUGUGCAGAGCAGCAAGGACUGAGAGGGAGUGAGGCUCAGCGUGUUAGCAGGCCCCCACAUCAGGAAAAACCACGAAUCCUCAGCCUCCAGCAGGGAGAUUGUUCUCAAUAGGUACGUGUUCAUUAUUCUGACCAAGCCUGUUCCCACCACGCCGGUUUCCUCUGUAGAAUUCAGCAGCUGGAACAUUUGUGCAGUAAAAAGGUAACUCUGCAUUUUAAAGAUGGGUUUUGUCAGCUUUUAAUAAUGGGACCACAGUGUGACCACUACAUCUACACUGAUACCCUAAACCCCGCUGCAGGAACUGAGAGUAUCAGUGUCUGGGCUCGUGUGACAGCGGGGCGGGGAUGGUAAGCAGCGCAGUGACCCGGCGCUGGAGACGCACUGUGCACAGCAGACAUCAUGGCUGGGAGGGGAGACGGCCGGGCUACGGAUACGCGUUUGCCGGAGCACUGGAGGGAUGUGCGAGAAUGGAGCGUGGAGAAGAGACAGAGCCACCAAAUGUGGGUUGCAGAUGUGGAAGCUGUCCUCAGGUCCAUGGAGAGACAGUUGAAUGCUUCACUGGAGAAAUAUCCUCGUACAAGCGCAGUCUGCCCAGAGCGUUGUCCUCCAUCUCCUUUGAACCGCGGCGGGUGUCUCUGCUGCCGACCAGCUGAUCCGGAGAGGCGCCUUAAGAUGGUCUGAAAUGAUUUGGAGGCAAGAGAAACGCUCAGCGAUCCCGUUUUCUUUGCAAACCUGAACCCUUCAAUCCCUCAUGCAAUGACCUGUCCUCAUAAGCCGUUUUUGCCAUUCAGCUGAGGAAAGUCAUUUCACACUUGAGUGUAUCUUUACUUAUCCGUCCCCUGAGCGCUGAAAAGUAGAUUUCAACUUGAGAUCUUCCCGCGAUGACUUCCAGCUUCAUGUUCUUAAUACUCUGCUAACGACUGACUAAUGAAUAAACAAGUCUCUCUGCGA